UGCCGUGGACUCCACGGCUCGUCUGAAAUGCCUGAGUGUACCCCGCUUUGCGGCGUAUUCGGUGUGAUAAAUCUUCACCGGAGUUGAUCCUUUAUGGGUCGCGUCUUAAAGGAUGUGGCUCUAUGCUUCCAACCGUCUCUGUUUGGGACAAUCUCUGACAAUUUGACCUCAAAUCGGGUGGGACUACCCGCUGAACUUAA
rnacentral:misc_RNA from 1 species